rnacentral:rRNA from 1 species
GAUGAACGCUGGCGGCGUGCCUAAUACAUGCAAGUCGAGCGAACAGACGAGGAGCUUGCUCCUCUGACGUUAGCGGCGGACGGGUGAGUAACACGUGGAUAACCUACCUAUAAGACUGGGAUAACUUCGGGAAACCGGAGCUAAUACCGGAUAAUAUAUUGAACCGCAUGGUUCAAUAGUGAAAGACGGUUUUGCUGUCACUUAUAGAUGGAUCCGCGCCGCAUUAGCUAGUUGGUAAGGUAACGGCUUACCAAGGCGACGAUGCGUAGCCGACCUGAGAGGAUCAACCGCCACACUGGAACUGAGACACAGUCCUGACUCUUACGGGAGGCAGCAGUAGGGAAUCUUCCGCAAUAGGCGAAAGCCUGACGUUACCACACCGCGUGAGUGAUGAAGGUCUUCGGAUCGUAAACCUCUGUUAUUAGGAAAGAACAAAUGUAUAAGUAACUAUGCUCGUCUUGACGGUACCUAAUCAGAAAGCCACGGCUAACUUCGUG